AAGGUCUUCUCAUGACCAAAAUGUCCAUUCUUAUUAUGAGCCUCAAGAGCCAAUGAUUGAGCCAGUUCACUAGGCACUACGAUUUGGUAACGAAUGUCGAUUUCAGAAGGUAGAUAUACCUUUCGGCAUAGCACUCCAUUUUUCAUCUCUAACUUUUCCCACUGACUCAGGACUGAUAGCAUUUCACAUGUCAGUCGUUCUCUUUCCUCUUUACAGGGCUUCUUGCCUUUCUCAACACACUUGAUCAUUUU